UGGGGAAUUUUGGACAAUGGGCGAAAGCCUGAUCCAGCAAUGCCGCGUGUGUGAAGAAGGCCUUCGGGUUGUAAAGCACUUUUGUCCGGAAAGAAAUCCUUGGCUCUAAUACAGUCGGGGGAUGACGGUACCGGAAGAAUAAGCACCGGCUAACUACGUGCCAGCAGCCGCGGUAAUACGUAGGGUGCAAGCGUUAAUCGGAAUUACUGGGCGUAAAGCGUGCGCAGGCGGUUUGCUAAGACCGAUGUGAAAUCCCCGGGCUCAACCUGGGAACUGCAUUGGUGACUGGCAGGCUAGAGUAUGGCAGAGGGGGGUAGAAUUCCACAUGUAGCAGUGAAAUGCGUAGAGAUGUGGAGGAAUACCGAUGGCGAAGGCAGCCCCCUGGGCCAAUACUGACGCUCAUGCACGAAAGCGUGGGGAGCAAACAGGAUUAGAUACCCUGGUAGUCCGCGCCCUAAACGAUGUCAACUAGUUGUUGGGGAUCAUUUCCUUAGUAACGUAGCUAACGCGUGAAGUUGACCGCCUGGGGAGUACGGUCGCAAGAUUAAAACUCAAAUGAAUUGACGGGGUCAUAGCUG
rnacentral:rRNA from 1 species